UCAAUCUCGUGCGGCUAGAAGCCGCCUGUCCCUCUAAGAAGAGUUUUAAUUUGGUCGCCGACAGCACGAAUGCGGAUGUCGUUUUACGUUUGCGACUAGUUAGCAGGCCAGAGUCUCGUUCGUUAU
rnacentral:rRNA from 1 species